UCCCCUGACGUGGGCUGGGGCACGUCACCGCCGAAUGGCAGCCUCCAGAAAGCCACCGCGAGUAAGACGGCAGAAUGCCUCCAAAGGUGACUUCAGAGCUGCUUCGGCAGCUGAGACAAGCCAUGAGGAACUCUGAGUAUGUGACGGAACCGAUCCAGGCCUACAUCAUCCCAUCGGGAGAUGCUCAUCAGGUCUGAAGGACACACCAACUCAGGAAGACUGGCUGGUGAGUGUGCUUCCUGAAGGAUCCAGGGUUGGUGUGGACCCCUUGAUCAUUCCUACAGAUUAUUGGAAGAAAAUGGCCAAAGUUCUGAGAAGUGCCGGCCACCACCUCAUUCCUGUCAAGGAGAACCUCGUUGACAAAAUCUGGACAGACCGUCCUGAGCGCCCUUGCAAGCCUCUCCUCACACUGGGCCUGGAUUACACAGGCAUCUCCUGGAAGGACAAGGUUGCAGACCUUCGGUUGAAAAUGGCUGAGAGGAACGUCAUGUGGUUUGUGGUCACUGCCUUGGAUGAGAUUGCGUGGCUAUUUAAUCUCCGAGGAUCAGAUGUGGAGCACAAUCCAGUAUUUUUCUCCUACGCAAUCAUAGGACUAGAGACGAUCAUGCUCUUCAUUGAUGGUGACCGCAUAGACGCCCCCAGUGUGAAGGAGCACCUGCUUCUUGACUUGGGUCUGGAGGCCGAAUACAGGAUCCAGGUGCAUCCCUACAAGUCCAUCCUGAGCGAGCUCAAGGCCCUGUGUGCUGACCUCUCCCCAAGGGAGAAGGUGUGGGUCAGUGACAAGGCCAGCUAUGCUGUGAGCGAGACCAUCCCCAAG
rnacentral:sRNA from 1 species